rnacentral:rRNA from 1 species
CAAUAGCGUAUAUUUAAGUUGCUGCAGUUAAAAAGCUCGUAGUUGGAUUUCGGGUGGUAAUGGCCGGUCCGCCGUUUCGGUGUGCACUUGCUACGCCCACCUUGCUGCCGGGGACGUGCUCUUGAGUUCACGCUCGGGACACGGAGUCGGCGAGGUUACUUUGAGUAAAUUAGAGUGUUCAAAGCAGGCCUACGCUCUGAAUACAUUAGCAUGGAAUAACACGAUAGGACUCUGGCCUAUCUUGUUGGUCUGUAGGACCGGAGUAAUGAUUAAGAGGGACAGUCGGGGGCAUUCGUAUUUCAUUGUCAGAGGUGAAAUUCUUGGAUUUAUGAAAGACGAACUACUGCGAAAGCAUUUGCCAAGGAUGUUUUCAUUGA